rnacentral:rRNA from 1 species
UACGUAGGGGGCAAGCGUUGUCCGGAAUCAUUGGGCGUAAAGCGCGUGUAGGCGGUCCGGAAAGUCUGGUGUGAAAACUUGAGGCUCAACCUCAAGCUGUCACUGGAUACUGUCGGACUUGAGUCUGGAAGAGGAGAGUGGAAUUCCUGGUGUAGCGGUGGAAUGCGCAGAUAUCAGGAGGAACACCAAUGGCGAAGGCAGCUCUCUGGUACAUGACUGACGCUGAGACGCGAAAGCGUGGGUAGCAAACAGG